AGUUUUCAGAUUUUUCUUAAAUCCGGUCGAACCCUAUUUUUUGGAUUUGACUGGGUUUGGAUAUGGUGCAUACCAAUGGGGUCGGAUGGAUUUUGCCAUCCCUAACUGGCAAAAAGUUACGAAGCUGUAAAAGCAGAUCUUUCUCAACUAUUUACAGGUAACUAAAUAUGAAUUAUGUUGUAUUUUUUAAAUACAAAUCCUCAUCAAAUUUAUUUUAUAUUUAAUUGGAUACUUAAUUUUUAUUUUUAAAAUUUUAUAUGUUGUAUAUUAUUUGGGCAACAUGAUUUUGAUAUCGAGG
rnacentral:lncRNA from 1 species